CGUAGCAUACACAAUACUCGAGAGAAAAUAGAGAGAUGAUGGAGUUGAAAUGGAUGUGGUUUAUUAGGAUAGCAGUGAUGAGUGUGUUGUUGGUGUUAAAAGGUACUACUACUGAUGCUUGUUUGGAGCAUGAGAGAAUUGCUCUCUUGCAACUCAAAUCUUUCUUCAAUAGUACAUAUAAGCUUGCCAGUUGGGAUGAGGUGAACAUCCCUAAUUGUUGUCAAUGGAAAGGGAUUGAGUGCAACACCACCACUGGACGACUUAUAGGACUCGACCUUAAUUAUAUAUAUUAGGUAUACAUAUAAGGUUUGGUAUUUGAAUGCCUCUAUGUUUCUUCCCUUUGUGGAAUUGAAGACUCUUUCUUUAUAAGGGAAUGCCAGUGCUGGUUGCAUUCAAAAUGAAGGUUUCGAAAAACUCUCAACUACAUUAAACAAUUUGGAGAUCCUUGACUUAAGUUGGAAUCACUUGAAUGAUAGCAUUUUGUUACCUUUGAGUGAGCUUUCAUCUCUCCGGUAUUUAAAUUUAGCA